GACGAACGCUGGCGGCGUGCUUAACACAUGCAAGUCGAACGGAAAGGCCCUGCUUUUGUGGGUUGCUCGAUUGGCGAACGGGUGAGUAACACGUGAGUAACCUGCCCUUGACUUUGGGAUAACUUCAGGAAACUGGGGCUAAUACCGGAUAGGAGCUCCUGCUGCAUGUUGGGGGUUGGAAAGUUUCGGCGGUUGGGGAUGGACUCGCGGCUUAUCAGCUUGUUGGUGGGGUAGUGGCUUACCAAGGCUUUGACGGGUAGCCGGCCUGAGAGGGUGACCGGCCACAUUGGGACUGAGAUACGGCCCAGACUCCUACGGGAGGCAGCAGUGGGGAAUAUUGCACAAUGGGCGGAAGCCUGAUGCAGCAACGCCGCGUGCGGGAUGACGGCCUUCGGGUUGUAAACCGCUUUCGCCUGUGACGAAGCGUGAGUGACGGUAAUGGGUAAAGAAGCACCGGCUAACUACGUG
rnacentral:rRNA from 1 species